UUUUUUCAUCUCUUCAUU
rnacentral:sRNA from 1 species